rnacentral:rRNA from 1 species
UACGUAGGGGGCAAGCGUUGUCCGGAAUUAUUGGGCGUAAAGAGCGCGUAGGCGGUCCGAUAAGUCGGCUGUGAAAGUCAGGGGCUCAACCCUUGGAAGCCGGCCGAUACUGUCGGACUAGAGUCCGGAAGAGGCGAGUGGAAUUCCCGGUGUAGCGGUGAAAUGCGCAGAUAUCAGGAAGAACACCAAUGGCGAAGGCAGCUCUCUGGGACGGUACUGACGCUGAGGUGCGAAAGCGUGGGGAGCAAACAGG